rnacentral:ncRNA from 1 species
AAUGAUAAAGCCAAACUUGUCGAAAGACAGGGACGGAAAGCCACGGGUCUGGAAGAUAGCCGGGUUGCCUUUG